CGCGUAGGCGGCCUGGUAGGUCAGAUGUGAAAGCCCGGGGCUUAACCCCGGAAGUGCAUUUGAUACUGUCAGGCUUGAGUAUGGGAGAGGGAAGUGGAAUUCCUGGUGUAGAGGUGAAAUUCGUAGAUAUCAGGAGGAACACCGGUGGCGAAGGCGACUUCCUGGACCAAUACUGACGCUGAGGCGCGAAGGCGUGGGGAGCAAACAGGAUUAGAUACCCUGGUAGUCC
rnacentral:rRNA from 1 species